CGAGCUGUGGGAGAGGAAAGUGAGUUGGGCUCCUUGCCACACUUGGAAGCUCCUUAGAAAUGGGGGGAAGGUCUUAUUCCUACAUAAAGAGGGUAAGGUCAUCCUCCAGCACAGGUGUGUUUCCACUGGUUCUAGCAAUGGAGUUUCUUUCUGCCCCACACAGUGAAUGAGUUAACGCUCCCCUCACUAAUAAUAACCCCACUCCCUUGACCAUUUUUUCUUUCCCUCCCAAUAAAUAUGAUGUUAGAUUCCCCUUGUCACCAGAUGUUCUUUGGAUCUCUGACUGACCUUGGGCCAGCUCUGAUAUCCAUACAAGGAUAUGUCUGAGCCAGCCCCAGACACUUGUAAACUUCACUGUUUUUGCAGUUGUCAGAAUAUUCACAGUUCUCAACAGUCCCUCAGUGAAAAAAGGGAUUUAGUGGGAGGGUUCAUUUUUUUUUUAAGGUUUAUUACAAACUUGUUGGGGUGAAGUCUUUAUUAAGGACUCCCUUACAGGUUUGUCCCUUUAAAUUAGCAUGUAUCAACUAUGGAAGUCCCCCAAGAACAACCAUUAUUCACCGUUAAAGGGUUAAAACAAGUAGGAUUUAUUAAAAAGCACUCCAAGGUUUAACACCCAAUAGGUGUUAAGCCUGGACCCAAAACUAGAACAAUGUGGGUUACAAAUAACACAAAGUGAAGUAAUCUUGUGCAGGACCAGUCUUGUGCAGGACCUCAACGAUGUCUGACUGAGACUGGACCACAUGGGAACAGGAACACCCAACCAGGAGCCACAAAUCAGGAACCAGGAACUUGGGAACCACGGGACAGGAACAACGGAGCAGAAAUAGAGGCUUCAGGAACAGUCUUGCUCAGGAACUCAACGAUGUCAGACCCGGGACCGGACCAUACAGGAACAGGAACCCCCGACCAGGAGUCACAAAUCAGGAACUUGGGAACCACGGGACAGGAACACCAGAGCAGGAACAGAGGUUUCAGGAACACCAUCACGCCCCUCACAAAUAUCACUUGAUGGGUGUCUGCUCCUCUCCACUGCUGAAAUUAUUCUUGAAAUUCCACCUGGGAGUGAAAUGGGGAUAUUUUGAAGUUUCUGAGGAACCUGCAGAAACCAAAAUCAUCAGUCUUGUGGUUUUCAAGUGUCUCGGGCUGCCAUAAACACAGGCUCAUCUUUAUGUGACCUGGGAAAUAGGGAAGGGUCUCACUGGAAACUCGGGAAGUCUUUAAACACAAUUUGCUCCUGAGCCAAUCAACAGAUUCCAAAAUGAUCAGAAAGGUUGCUACAUGGCUCCCACUGAAGAGCUCUCAGACCAGAAGCAAAGGAACAACUUCAGUGACUGGCACAACCAAAAGCAGCAUCUCAAAUGGUGCAGGUUCUAUUCCUAUACAACUAUUCUAUGGUAUACUGACCACAUGCUUAGACUAAAGAUUUUGCUGAGAUACAUAAAAGAAAAUUACAUAUCCUUAAAUCAUGGUGGAGAGGAGAAGCAGAAUAAAAACAAGGUAAGGUAAAAGACAAGUGUCAGAUAAAGGCGGCUUGUUUAUAAGUAAUUUAUUAAAUCUAUUUGAGUUACAACAGAGAAGACACUGGUGCUUAUUUAGCAUUCCUCUUUAGGACAGGAAGUGACAGACAAGUUAAAAUGCCAAUCAAAAUGAGCAUGUCAUACAAUGACAAAAACACCCAAAUAUCCUUAAAUGCAUCAGACCACUCACCAAUUUAAUAGGGUACGCCUUUCAAGAUUGACCACACUGCUACCCUCCUGUGCAAAUUGUUAUGCUAAGGGACUUUCUAUUAAUAGUGCUUUUUUCUCCACUUAACAGUCCUAAAUCAGAAAGUAAUUGAAUCUAUGAGGUAGCCAUUGCAGGAUUACUGAAUUUCACUUCAUGCUGUUUCUGUAAGAUGGAAGACAGAUUGUAGCAAAAUAGUUCUACUUCACUACCAACAACUUUUAAGAGAACCAACCCUCACAGAAACUACAUAGCCCGAAUGAAUGUCAUUUGUGAGUUCUUCUCAAGCAAUGUUACAAAAGUUUAUUUUAUAAGAAAAUAAAUUUAAAUAAAAUACAUUUUCAACAAUACAUCCUUACACAAAUUAAAAAACAUUAAAAAAUGUACAGUCCAAAUAAAACUAAAUUACUGAACAAUGUUUUAAUGUCUAGGCUAAUCAAAGUGAAAGCAACUUGAAUAUUAAUCUCUUAUUUGUACCUAAUUUAAUUCUAGAGUACCUACUGCAUUUUUAAACAUACUAUAAAAUGACAAAUUACAUUUUAAAGGCCUAAGGUCUUAAAGGCCUAGCUGUCCUUUUCUAUAUAGUCUAGUACCAUCAAAGCAUAUGAAAAGUGCAUUUCAAAAGUUUUUUUUUUCCUUACAAUAAUAUAAGAUUUAAACUUUUAUACAUUUAACUUUGCUGUUAAGUGACAGAAACAGGCUUCAAGAAAACAGACACAAGCACAUUUUGUAAUAAGGCUCGUCACAAUAAAUAGCAAAACUUAAUUCUAAUAGGUUUCAGAGUAGCAGCCGUGUUAGUCUGUAUUCGCA